rnacentral:misc_RNA from 1 species
UUUUUGUUUGCCGGCUCCUGAAAAAAUGAAGUCGGUCCCCUGAAAUGCAUUAGUGGUAUCUGAGCAGAGACUACUUACAGGUGUGAUAAAUUAUCUAUCUAUGCCUCGGUAUGCUGCAUGAAACAGAUUGCACCGCUUAUAACGAGUGGAUAUUUGACAAGUUUGACCUCAAAUCAGGUAGGACUACCCGCUGAACUUAA